AUGCUUGCUUUCACAGCAUGUAUACUAAAAUUGUAACAGAGUAGGUUGGUAUAGCCCCCUAAGCAGGAUGAUAGUUAAAUUUAUGAAGUGUUCUAUAUCAAA
rnacentral:snRNA from 1 species